UUCGAUUCUGGCUCAGGAUGAACGCUAGCGACAGGCCUAACACAUGCAAGUCGAGGGGCAGCGCGGAGUAGCAAUACUUGGCGGCGACCGGCGCACGGGUGAGUAACACGUAUGCAACCAACCCAUAACAGGGGGAUAACCCGGAGAAAUCCGGACUAAUACCGCAUAAGACCACGAUAUCGCAUGAUAGUAGAGGUCAAAUAUUUAUAGGUUAUGGACGGGCAUGCGUCUGAUUAGCUGGUUGGCGGGGUAACGGCCCACCAAGGCAUCGAUCAGUAGGGGUUCUGAGAGGAAGGUCCCCCACAUUGGAACUGAGACACGGUCCAAACUCCUACGGGAGGCAGCAGUGAGGAAUAUUGGUCAAUGGGCGAAAGCCUGAACCAGCCAUGUCGCGUGAAGGAAUGAAGGUCCUAUGGAUUGUAAACUUCUUUUGCAGGAGGGUAAAGUGAGCUACGUGUAGUUCAUUGCAAGUACCCUGCGAAUAAGCAUCGGCUAACUCCGUGCCAGCCGCUGC
rnacentral:rRNA from 1 species